GGCAUUUUCACCCAUGGGGAGCAGUGUUCCACUAAGUAUUUGGAGAUCAGCUGCAAACCACAGAAAGAGGUCCAGAUGGUUCCCCGACAUCCAUCUGCUUUUGAUAAUGCAGCACACUCAUUCUUCUCUGCAGCCGGGAAACUCCUUCCUUAGUCUUCUGCUCCUUCUCCUACUGCUGGCCAGCAGGCUACAAACCAAGUGUCUCCUUCCAGUUUACUCUGUGUUUGCCAAAAACUCUGAAAAAUAUGUCUGCAGAUCUGUGUGCCAUUGCAGAGAUUAUUCUAGAGGGAUUUGAACCAUCAAAUGAAACAAUAUAAUGACUUGUGACCUUUACUGAGGUGGUGAGAGAACAGAAAUAAGAAAAAAAGAAGAAAAGCAGCACAGAAGGCCCGUGCAGACUUGGUCUUGGCUAGAUGUGCUAAGUAAUGCCAGCUGUAUCCUGGCCCCGUUUGGAGCAUCUGCUGAAGGAUGGGUCCAGUAUAUACUGCAAUGUUGAUGCAGACUGGAUUCCAGCAAUCACCUGUACCUGAUGAUAAGAUAGCUGAAUUGUCAAGGUAACAACUGAUUUGAGAAUAGCCAGUUUUCUCCAAGAGAUGAGCACAUGGAGGGACCUGGGGGAAGAUCCAGUGCUUACCAGGGAUCUCACUGAGCUCAACAGGCCCUGAAACAGAGGAAGGAGAAGAAAUAUGCCCAAAUGAAGAGGUGCCCAGCAGAUCAUGCUACCUCAUUGGAGAACCCAGUGGUAUAAAUUCUCCAUAAAAUGCACCCUUCAAACCAGCCUCCCCUGAAGGAUCCAGCAGACAUGGUCUGAGAGAAGAACUGAGCACAAGUUGAACAUCUGCCAUUAACAAAGCCAACAAGUUGUGAUGUUUUACAAUCCACAUUUGAACCUUCUUCUCAAAACAUUGCACACUUCCUUAAAUAAGCAAUUUACUCAGCUCAUUUGUACAAAGAUAAGGUCAGUCUUGGGAUGGAAAGAUGGAUCCACAACCCCCUUUGGCAACCAUCUUUGAAAUGAGUCAAGAAUUGGUUACACUAGAGGCUUGUUAAACUGCAACAUCAUGUUGCAGAAAUGCAACAUCAACAGGCAGCUUAAGUGUUUCUGUACAAACAGAUAUUGUACAGCCUUGAUUUGGCUGAGCUGAACCCACUACAGGAUUUAGGCAUAUGCCUAAAUAUGGAAUUACUUACAUGACUGCAGUUAAGAUGUGCUUAAGUGUUUUGUUGUGUAUGGGCCUACACACUACAUCUGUGUUUGUAUUAAGAGGAAAAGCUGUUCUACAAGACGUUCGAGCAUUUUAAAAUGUAUUUUUGUUCUGAACUGGAACAGGGAGUUUUACCCUGAAAUGAAAUUUUAGGAAAUCUUUAAUUCUAGAAAUCUUGUAAUUGUGCGUACUUGAAACAUUGUGUGUCAGUAAUGUUGUAACGCUUUGUGACAUUUAGAUUGAAACAUUGCAUGUCCACAUAUGUUACUAAAUUAAAUAGAACCAACUGUCAACUAAGCGUGCUGGAAUUGCCUGGGUUUUGUAUUACCGGCCCCCUGGAUGCAGGAAGAACUCUGGUCUGGUCUA